rnacentral:rRNA from 1 species
UGGGGAAUUUUGGACAAUGGGCGAAAGCCUGAUCCAGCAAUGCCGCGUGUGUGAAGAAGGCCUUCGGGUUGUAAAGCACUUUUGUCCGGAAAGAAAUCCUUGGCUCUAAUACAGUCGGGGGAUGACGGUACCGGAAGAAUAAGCACCGGCUAACUACGUGCCAGCAGCCGCGGUAAUACGUAGGGUGCAAGCGUUAAUCGGAAUUACUGGGCGUAAAGCGUGCGCAGGCGGUUUGCUAAGACCGAUGUGAAAUCCCCGGGCUCAACCUGGGAACUGCAUUGGUGACUGGCAGGCUAGAGUAUGGCAGAGGGGGGUAGAAUUCCACGUGUAGCAGUGAAAUGCGUAGAGAUGUGGAGGAAUACCGAUGGCGAAGGCAGCCCCCUGGGCCAAUACUGACGCUCAUGCACGAAAGCGUGGGGGAGCAAACAGGAUUAGAUACCCUGGUAGUCCACGCCCUAAACGAUGUCAACUAGUUGUUGGGGAUUCAUUUCCUUAGUAACGUAGCUAACGCGUGAAGUUGACCGCCUGGGGAGUACGGUCGCAAGAUUCAAAACUCAAAUGAAUUGACGGGGUCAU